AAUAAUUCAAAAUCCUAACAGAUAACAAUCUGCGCAACUUCUACCAAAUAAUUCAGAUUAGGAUAAUCCUGGAUCUUUUGGAGCUGCUCCCACAGAGGCUGCGAAGUUGAGUGUACACAUGUGAACAAUGGCAAAUGUGAACGGUGUGUGAAGUAGGCACAUACUUUUCCAGUGUACCACACUCGCUGGCUUAUGUAACCUGUCGUCCAGGGGUUCAUCGGCUUGGAGGGAUCUGCAGAGAAUGAGCCACCAAACACCAUCGGACGGCAAACAUUUCGCGAACUCAUCUUCAUCAGCGUGGCUGCUACCAACUUUGUCGCACGGGCAUUCGCCCUCUGUCAUCAAUAGGCCGGAAUAGUCGGUUUUUUGUCGCUCAUCAGCCUCGUCAGCGACUGUGAAAAAUGAACCCUCCUAUAGUCAAUUUAGUAGGCAGUUUGUGUCCACCUGUUGAUUAGCGAUACGAAGCCGAAAUGACGCACCUGAAUGGGGGGAUCUGCGAAUCCAGAACGGUCCUGGUUGCGAGGUUGCGCUAACGCCAUGAUGGCUCUCAAGUAGGAACCCUAACGGCUAGUCACCAGAAGAAAAGAAAUCACAGCGCGGAGCUUAUCAUAUCUAAUUUAUAGAAUAUAUUUUGUAUACUUUUAAAAUAAAAUGUUAAACUAACUAU
ensembl:ncRNA lncRNA:CR43436 long non-coding RNA:CR43436